UGGAGCUGGGAACGGGGGCAGACAAGUGUCACUGUCAACGUACUGACCCUUACAGAGGAUGGUAAGGGCCAUCCGGCCUUGGCGGAGAAGGAGAUCCCUGGCGAGGUCAGCAUCAACACAAACGUUUUCAACAUUGCCAUUGCCUAGUUACUUUUUAAUUCAUGUACAUGUACUAGUAUUAGUUGUUAUUUUGUAUUCUAUCAUACUUUGUAUAGCCGGUCUAAGCGCCCUUCGGCAUAAGACAGUUUGAUUGCAUGAAAUGUUAAAAAAAAGUUUGUAGUACUGAAGCCCGAACUACAAGUUCCAGUAUACGAUAGUUCUUAUUUUGUAUUCUGUCAUACUUUGUAUACGUAUAGCCGGUCUAAGCGCCCUUCGGCAUAAGACACUUUUAUUGCAUGAAAUGUUUACAAAAAGUUUGUAGUACUGAAGCCCGAACUACAAGUUCCAGUAUACGAUAGUUCUUAUUUUGUAUUCUGUCAUACUUUGUAUACGUAUAGCCGGUCUAAGCGCCCUUCGGCAUAAGACACUUUUAUUGCAUGAAGUGUUUACAAAAAAGUUUGUAGUA